rnacentral:tRNA from 1 species
GGAAGUUUAGCUCAGCUGGGAGAGCACCAGCCUGUCACGCUGGGGGUCGUCGGUUCGAGCCCGAUCCG